CGGUUGGUAAGGUAACGGCUUACCAAGACAAUGAUACGUAGCCGACCUGAGAGGGUAAUCGGCCACAUUGGGACUGAGACACGGCCCAAACUCCUACGGGAGGCAGCAGUAGGGAAUCUUCCACAAUGGACGAAAGUCUGAUGGAGCAACGCCGCGUGAGUGAAGAAGGUUUUAGGAUCGUAAAACUCUGUUGUUGGAGAAGAACAGGGACUAGAGUAACUGUUAGUCCUUUGACGGUAUCCAACCAGAAAGCCACGGCUAACUACGUGCCAGCAGCCGCGGUAAUACGUAGGUGGCAAGCGUUGUCCGGAUUUAUUGGGCGUAAAGCGAGCGCAGGCGGUUUUUUAAGUCUGAUGUGAAAGCCUUUCGGCUUAACCGAAGAAGUGCAUUAGAAACUGGGAAACUUGAGUGCAGAAGAGGACAGUGGAACUCCAUGUGUAGCGGUGAAAUGCGUAGAUAUAUGGAAGAACACCAGUGGCGAAGGCGGCUGUCUGGUCUGUAACUGACGCUGAGGCUCGAAAGUAUGGGGAGCGAACAGGAUUAGAUACCCUGGUAGUCCAUACCGUAAACGAUGAAUGCUAAGUGUUGGAGGGUUUCCGCCCUUCAGUGCUGCAGCUAACGCAUUAAGCAUUCCGCCUGGGGAGUACGACCGCAAGGUUGAAACUCAAAGGAAUUGACGGGGGCCCGCACAAGCGGUGGAGCAUGUGGUUUAAUUCGAAGCAACGCGAAGAACCUUACCAGGUCUUGACAUCCUUUGACCACUGUAGAGAUACAGCUUUCCCUUCGGGGACAAAGUGACAGGUGGUGCAUGGUUGUCGUCAGCUCGUGUCGUGAGAUGUUGGGUUAAGUCCCGCAACGAGCGCAACCCUUAUGACUAGUUGCCAGCAUUUAGUUGGGCACUCUAGUAAGACUGCCGGUGACAAACCGGAGGAAGGUGGGGAUGACGUCAAAUCAGCAUGCCCCUUAUUGACCUGGGCUACACACGUGGCUCACAAUGGUCGGUUCACACCACGAGU
rnacentral:rRNA from 1 species